GUUUUCACAGCAGGCCCAGGAGGAGGAAGGACAUGUUGUUCUCGCCUGCCAGUGAAGUUGAGAAUGGUUCCAUUGCCCCGGACUGAGUUUGGGAUCUUGUGGUCUGGAGAUCCUCUCUUUAUCCUCUCUAGAGUGGAAGCCUCUAGUGUUCUCCUGGGAUAAGGUAGGAAAACAGGAAUUUUAAUUGCUUCUUAAUCACACUUUUAAUCAAUCCUGUGGGGUUUAUCCCUGCUUUCACACCCAAUUUAAGAGUCAUUUGAUGCUGCCAGUUCCCAAGGUUUUUGGAAACUCUAUGGUAUAAUCUGAUUAGUUUUUGGCUUUCCCCACUGUUUGCUUUCUGAGAUCUGCUAAGGCAUUUAUUGCUAAUCUUUCUGCUCUUUGGUUUCUAAAAUUUGGUAGCUCUGAUCACCUCUCCAAUUUUGUUGUUCUGUUGGGUUUUUGCCUAAACAAAUCCCCUUACUGUCAUUUUGGUGGAGUUUGUGAGGUACUAGAGUCUUCCCUGUGUCUCUAAAUUGAUAUGUAAGAUUGUUAGAAGCUGUUAUUAGAUACCCACUGACAUCAUGUGGUUCUUCCCUAGGCGUUCUAUAAUGACAAUUUUACUCAGAAAGUUUCGAAGGAAUAUAUGCUUACCCAAUAACAGAGGUGAGGGAAAGAAGGUGAUUAGGUACCAAUUAAAUUAAUGCAUUUACAGUAAGAAUAAAUGUACCUCCACACUGGGGUAGACAAGAAUGUGUUAGACUUUUUUUUUUUAAUUAAUUAAUUUAUUUGAAAGUCAGAGUUACACAGAGAGAGAAGGAGAGGCAGAGAGAGAGAGAGAAAGAGGUCUUCCAUCCGCUGGUUCACUCUCCAAAUGGCUGCAAAAGGGCCAGAGCUGUGCCAAUCCGAAGCCGGGAGCCAGGAGCUUCUUCCAGGUCUCUUAUGCAGGUGCAGGGCCCAAGCACUUGGGCCAUCUUCCACUGCUUUCCCAGGCCACAGCAGAGAGCUGGACUGGAAGUGGAGUAGCCAGGACUCGACCUGGUGCCCAUAUGGGAUGCAGGCACUGCAGGCAUGGCGCCGGCCUCUAGAUUCUUUAAAAUUGCUGUAAGACAUGUCUAUUGGGUAUGGAGAAAUGAGAAAGUGAGGUAUAGCUUUGUGUGUGUUUGUGUUAAUUUUUUUAAACAAAGGUUUAUUUUUUUUACUUAUUUUGAAGGCAUAGCGAGAGAGAGAGAGAGAGAGAGAUCUUCCAUCCUCUGGUUUACUCUCCAAAUGCCCUCAAAAGUCAGGUCUGAGUCUGGCCAAAGCCAGGAUCCAGGAACUCCAUCCUGGUCUCUUGUGUGGGUGGCAGCGGCUGAAGUACCUGAGCCAUCAUUUGCUGCCUUCCCAGAUGCAUUUGCAGGAAGCUGACUCAGAAGUAGAGUAGCAACUUAAUUUGCUGCACCACAACACUGGCCACUAGCUUCUGUAUUUCAAGCAAGGUUUUUGUGGAGAAAAGAGGGGGUUUUUGAAAUAGAAAAAGGAAAAUUUCACAAAGGAGGACGUCUUUGUUUCUCAGGGGAUGUUACUGUAAGUAGUCCUUUGUCCAGCACUAUUUUCUGGGGACAAGGUAGAUGACAAGGUGGAAGCAUCAAAAAGAGAGUAGAAUACUACAGUCAUACAAGACUCAGGACGGAUCUAGAACGUUACUGGACAAGAGGCAAUUAACAUUCAGCGCACCAGUGGGCUGGGGCUGAGAAGACAAGGCGUGCCGUCUGUGGUUCAGCAAGUCCCUGCACUCCACCUGUCCCCUAAUCAUCUUGUCUCUCCCGUUUGUCUCCCUGCCUGGCCGAUGUGGGUGCUCGAGUGUGCAGUCUGGCUGCAGAGGACAGGAACACUUCCUUGAGGGCCAGCCGCCACAGACAAGGAGAACACUGGGAAGCAGCCGCCAAGGCAGCAGAGGAAGGGGCUCUCAGUUGCCUCAGCUGCCACAGCACAGCUGUCUUAGAGGAACUGCCCAGUGGACCGUAUCAAGCGGCGUUUUUGGGAAUUUGGGGUCAGAGUUAAGAUGCUGCGGCCUGAAAGCAAUGUUUCCCUCUCAGAUCGUGAGACCAAGGAUGAUGAGAACAAUCGCCGCCACCACCACCACAGCAGCAGCAGAAAUCAUUAUUUGACAUCUUCUGGUGCCAUGAGCUGAUGUACACAUUAUAUCCAGGAAUCUCCGCAAACUAUGUAAAAUAAAUGUUCCUGCUUCCCGGUUGUAGACUUGAAUCUGAGAGUAAAAUAAUGUAUCUGAAGACGUAUGAUAAUUAGUGAAAAAGAAUUUGAUCUUUCAUCUGUCUGAUCCCAAAGCCUAAUGAUGAUUACAAAGAUCAUGAAUUGCGUCCUCAAUUACCGCCUCGUGGUUGCAGUAAUAGAAGCCCACCUUAGCUUACAAAGCAAAAGGAGGGGCCAGCACUGUGGCAGAGAAGGCUAAGCCUCCACCUGCAGUGCUGGCAUCCCACAUGUGCCAUUUCAAGUCCCAGCUGCUCCGCUUCUGAUCUAGCUCCCUGCUAAUGGCUUGGGGAAGCAGUGGAAGAUGGCCCCUGCACCCACGUGGAGACCCAGAAAAGCUCCUGGCUCCUGGUUUUGGUCUGGUCCCGGCUGUUGUGACCACUUGGGGAGCGAACCAGUGGAUGGAAGAUCUCUCUCUCUCUCUCUUUCUCCUCUUUCUCUGUAACUCUGCCUUUCAAAUAAAUAAAUGCUCUUAACAAAAAAGGCAAAAGAAACUAUACUGAUGAAAAACAAAACCCUCCAAAAAACAGGUAGCCAAAAUGAGAGGGCGAGGAUCUCACUGGCCCCAGCAAUGAUUAGCACUGGAGAGCUGAAGGCUGUUAGGGCUCUCUGCUGUCUGUCUUGUCUCUGCCUCCUCCUGAGGCCAGCUCUGUUCUCUUCCAUGGCAGCCUGGCUUUCUGCACUGUGGAAGGAGUGCAGGAGCGGGUGAUAUGUCUCCAGGGAGCCCUUGACUUAAUGACCUGAGAAACAACAGAGUCUCCUCUUGGCAGCCCCAGCAAAGAAAUUCUGGGAAGAGUCUCAGUAGUUCUGUUUGGAUCAUGUAUCCAUCCCUGCACGGAUGGCUGUGUCCAGGAAGACAUGAGAGUCCAUAAUGAGGCCCGUAAUUCUCUGUUAUAAAGUUGGUAGAGUGCCUGUUAACAUAUGGAGAAGGGGUGAAGGAAUGCCAAAUAGAUAAAAGUAGUAACUACUAUGUCUCCAGUCACCUUGGUUUUUAAAUGUAAGAUUCAUUUUACAGUAAACUUGUUAUUUUUCUCAGGGAAAAAAAAAUUCCCUGCAAGACAAAAAUUAUCUAAUAUUCACAAAAUAAUCUGAACAUUCGUGUUCAAAGUUCUUGGAGAUCACCUCACUGCCACCCUCACGUACCAUCUUGGAUCCUCUCAGUAGCUGGUUUGGUGGGUUUUACCAGGUCACAAAGCCCGUAAGCACCGGCUACAUAACUUGAACCUUAACAGAGAAUAGUCUUGCCUUGUGUGUUUCCAAGUAAGCCAAGUUUACACACAGAGAAAGGAUAAUAGAUUCAGAGAAUCGCUGAGUGAAAAGGGAGCUACUAUUGAGAAAUGAUCACCUGAGGGAAUCUCAUCUUUUCAAAGUCUGGGGGAAAGUUCUCAGCUGCUACAGGGCUGAUUGUGUUGUUGAAAAGAUGAGAUGAAGCAUGUGAGUGAACACAAAAUUCCGGGGAAGUUUGAACUAUGAAACCAACUUAAAAAUAGAAGAAAUGAAAGUGUGCUCAAUUGGCAAGUGUUAAAUGCUUUCCACUUCCCUCCCUUAUUCUAUGAGAUAAGGAUCCACAACAAUGAAAGAAAAUGAAGAAGCUACAUUUUGUUUGCAUGUGUGAUUGUAUUCAUCAGCUUCUUGUCACUAUCACAAAAUACCCGAGAUAAGCUACUUAUGGAGGAAGAAGGUUUAGUUUGGCUCACUGUUUUGGAUGUCCGUAGUCCAAGACUGAGCAAGCUCCACUGUUGGUUCUUGGAGGCUGGCAACAGCAGUGGAUGUGUGGAAGAGGGGAUCACACAGUGGGCCAGGAGACAAAGAGGGAGCAAACUCCUAGUCUGUGUAUGUGAUUCUCCUUGUACCGCCACCAUGAUCUGAUCAUGGGGCGCCACCAUAACCACCUAAUCCGAUUUAAUCACUUCCCAAAGUUACUGCCUUCAGACAGUCUUGUUGGGGUACGGUUUGCCUUUAAUCCAUUAGCUGUUAACAUUGGUCCACCAAUCAUUUAUGGAACACUCUGGGGACCAAGUCUAACACAUGGGCCUUCAGGGGACACCCAAACUAAUGUCCAACCCUUAGCUCUACUGUCAGAUUCACAUUUUUUUGAAACAUAAAUCUGGCUAUGGUUUUGAGAAUGUAUUGGGAAGCAAUGGGAUGAGAGACAGGGAGACUAUUUAGGAGUCUUGGGAUAAUGUAGAAAAAAGCUAAGGAUGACCUUGACUAGGGAAAUAGCCAAAAGUUGGAGAGAAAUGGGUGGCUUUGAGAAUAAACACAGGAUAUUAGCACUUUGUGAUUGAUUAGAAAUGGGGUGGAGGGAAGAGAAGAGUGAAGAAUUGGCACCAUCCCCCAACUAGGUUUUUAGUUUGGGUAUCUAGAUGUACGAAGAUACCAUUUGUUGAGAUAAGAAAUCAGAAGGAAGAAUGUGUUUGGGUGGGAGGAGAUUCUGAGCAAAUUGAGAUUGGAAGUUUAUAGUUAUGUUUGCAUAUACACUCAAGAACUGGAAAGAAAGGGAGAAGGAAGGAGGGUGAAAGGGAGACAGGGGGAGGGAGUGAGGAAGGGAUAUCAUUAUGUUCAUAGAAUUGUAGCCACAAACCACAUUGAAUCUGCUGAAAACUAAUUACAAAUCAAAAUAAAAAAGUAUAAAAACUGUCUCCAAUUAGCCACCACACAAAUCCUGUUGAUUUUCUUCCUUGAUUUUUUCCUAUCAGUUCUUUCUUUUCUAUUUUUUCUUCUAUCACUACAGUUCUAUUAAAGAUAAAUGUAUGCAUAUUUAAAUUUUAAUGAGUUUAUUUGAACAUCAGCAAUUCAUGAAUUGGCCAUCCCUAGACAGCCUGCAAAUGGCUCAGUGUUCCCCCAGCUUGGGUGGGGUGGGGGUAGGGGGUGGAGAAGAGAACUGAUAAGGUGUUCUCAGAGGGAAGACAAAGAAAAUAUAUUUUUUCUUGGUUGGUCAAAGUGGAAAGUCCCUAGUUAGAAGUUAGCUGGCAGUUUCUGAUUGGUUAAAUCUAAGUUUCCUUUUAUUGAUUACAUUGAAUUGGGGUUUACUUUGUUUACAUAAGAGUUCAAGGAUCUGAGACCAUCUCAGCCUAAUAAUCUCUGCAUAACAAUUCUAGUUCCCAUUGUCUCACAUUUGGAGAGAUGAAACACUGACUGUGCUGCUCUUCUAAUAUUCAGUCUUUUUUUCCUUUUUUUUUUUUUUAAAGAUUUAUUUUAUUUACUUGAAAGACAGAAUUACAGAGAGAGGUAGAGACAGAGAGAGAGGUCUUCCAUCUGCUGGUUCACUCUCCAGAUGGCCACAACAGCCAGAACUGUGCCGAUCUGAAGCCAAGAGCCAGGAGCUUCCUUCAGGUCUCCCAUGUACGCGCAGGGGCCCAAGGACUUGGGCCAUCCUCUACUGCUUUCUAUUGCUUUCCCAGGCCAUAGCAGAGAGCUGAAUCAGAAGUGGCGCUGCCAGGACUCAAACCAGUGGCUUUAACCUGCUGUGCCACAAUGCCGGCCCCCUAGUAUUCAUUCUACACAGAGCUACAGUAUUCAUCUACCCCAAAUUGGCUUUGCUGGGUCAUCCCCUUCCAUUUCAUGACAUUCCCAUGCUUCCCCAUUGCUCACUUUCAAUUACUGCUUCCAACUGGCUCCUAAUUACUUCAGCUUUACCUCACGCUCUCCUGAGAGUUUAUCUCAGUCUGGUCAUAGUAGAAGUUCAGGGGCCAGUGCUGUGGUACACAGGGUUGAAUCUCCAUCUGCAGUGUCAGCACCCCAUAUGGACGUUGUAAGUUCUGGGUUUCGGCACCAAUGUAAGGUCCCCACAAAACACCAAACACCAGAGUAAGGGAAAGGGUUUAUUGGGGAGAACCCAGCAGGCCGGAGGGAAGGGGCAAGGAAGGAAAAAGAGAGUAAGAGAGAAAGAGGGGAGAGGAGAGAGGAGCACAGAGAGAAGAGAGAGCAAGCGAGGGGAAGGAGAGAGGGGAGCAAGAGAGGAGAGGAGACAAGAGAGAGGGAGAGAGAGAAAGAGAGCCAUGUGUUCAGGAAUAGGUCCUUUUAAAACUUUGCCAGAGGACAGGCAGGGAAGUAGGAGCAGCGAAUCCCGUUAGGAUGGGGGUGGAGCUUGACACCAGUGGUUGGGCCUUGUGGCCACCUGGCUUCCAGCAAUGGCGGUGGGGGCUAGAGCCUAGGAUGGCUAGGAUUCGCCAUUUUCCUAACAGACGUGGGUUCGAGUCCUGCCUGUUCCACUUUGGAUCCAGCACCUUGCUAAUGUGUCUGGGAAAGCAGCAGAAGAUGGCCCACAUACAUAGGCGACCCAGAAGAAAAUCCUAGCUCCUGACUUUGGAUUGGCCCAGCUCUGGCUGUUGCAGCCAUUUUGAGAGUGAAACAGCAGAGGAAGCUCUCACUCUCUCUAAUUCUGCCUUUCAAAUAAACAAUAAAAUAAAUCUGUAAAAAAAAAAAAAAAGAACUUCAAAUACAAUACCCUCCUUCUGUCCAUGCCACUGCCCUCAUGUUUUUGUGUUUGCUUCUCUUUUCUACUCAUCAGACUCUUAAAACUCAGCCCCAAAGGGCCAAAUCUUCCUUCUCACCAUUCUAUCUCAAUCUAGUCCCUCCUUUGAAUGUCCAAGUUGCUGGCUGUGCCUCUCAUUAGCAUUUAUUCCCAUGUUGCAUUGUUUUGCAAUUCCCUAUUCAUUUAAUUUCUCUAUACCAGAUUGAGAACAAUGAUUAGAUAUCACAUUACUCUCAUAUUCUCCAGACUACCUAGCGUAAUCCUGUGUACAAGGUAAGCAUUCUGUAAGUAUUUGUUGACUUGAAAUACGUACUAAAGUACAUUUUUUUCUUACCCACUACUCUUAUCUCUGCCUGAGCAAAUGAGGUCGAUACGCAAAAGUAGUUAAGAUAAAGCACGUAAAGUGGAAGAACAAACAGGCGACAGAGGAGAUUUUAAUGAAACUAUGAUAUUAAAAAUAAUAAUUAUCUACUAAAUCUAUUUUUUAACUUUAAAGAAGUCAAAGUCUUCCUUUUAACCUCAAACAUGUGUGUGUAUAUUUAAGUAUGAAAGGUCACAUGAAUCUUAAAAGGUAGAAUUAUUAUUUUUAAAAUAUUUGGUAAUAAAAAUAAACUCUUUUUAAGCUAAUAAUUCUUGUGAUUUUUAAAUGAUUUCAUAGCAAAGCUCAUUAAAUUUUUAGUAUAGAUCACCUAUUUUGACUCCAAAUUGAUAUUGGAAAGAAAAUCUCAUUACUUUAAAAAAAAUCAAUGAUAAAUAAAAUACUUAUAUCAAGUUUAUUGGCAUAGAUAGCAAUAGAUUUAGUUAUAAAUCCAAGGCUUCAAUAAAAUAAGCUUGGAGUUAGAAAUUAUGCACUAAUUAAAAAAAAUAAAAAGGAAAAGGCUUCGAAUAUGUGAUUCAAUGUGAACAUUUUCCGUGUAAUAAGCUCUCUGUUUUUAUUACAAAAUUAGACAAGUCAACAUAAAGUAUGUUUAAGUCAACAGAAACUGUUCUAGGUAAGUGAAUUUAAUCUUCAAGGUCACUGACACACAAUAUAAUCUUGUUUCUCUCAAGAUUUUAUUCUGCAAGUAACUAAGUGACUCACAAGCUCAGAAAAUAUUUUCUGGUACAGACUUUGCCAUCUCUGCAAGCUUUUUACUAUGAACUCAUGGACCAUUGAGAAGUACUAAGUGAAACACGUUUCCUGGGUUCAAACAAGUCGUGAAAAUCCAUGUCAGAUCCUUGUACCAACCUUGGUACAGGUUCUCUCAUUGGACAGUAAGCUCUAUUAGCUCAACAGGGGACUGAACACAAAUGCACACUAGAGAAGAUGAGAGCAAGAAAGAACCUCGGCGCUUGCUCCACCUCCUUCCCAACGGAUGAAGAUGAUACCUAGUCGGUUUCAAAAUGGAAGGUCACAUGUUUUUUUACAUUUCAGAGAUAUUAAAAAAUCAACUCAGAGUGCAGUAGAUUGUGAGCAGAGAGAAUUUCUUUUUUUAAAUAUUUUUUAGUCUGCAAAUGACAGCUCAUCUUGGAUCAGAGUGGGCAACUCAGCUGCAGUCUCUCCCAGCUGUGGCACAGUCCCCAUGUCCUACAGGGAAGAGCUUCAUUGGAUGGGUCUGGACUACUGGGACGCCCCACGUGUGACUUCUCCUGGCCGUGGGGGUGGUUUCGAAGCGAUUUCCUUCCAUUUUGGUUUUCACUCAACAAUAGUGAAGAAGGUUCCAGGCAUAUGACCAGCAGGGGUGUUGUUAAGAUUAAACAAGAUAAAACCAGUGACAGCAUUUGGCAACUGUGAACACGCUGUGCAAAUCCAAGCUGGAAGACAUAGGAUUUUGUUAUACAAAACAACGACUUCAUCUCUACCAAGACUUAUUAUGGGAAUAUGUGGUUGUAAGUUUGUCUGGAGGAUAUAAGGCACAGUCCUUGCCUAGUUUGGACUAUGUGCCAUGCAGUGAUAAUGCCAUCUCCUUUGUCAGGACCACGUCUGCUUACACAUGGUGACAGUGCUGUUGUUACAGCUUCCUCCUGCCUUGGGAGCAGUGGCCCUCUUGGAAACAAGUGGUCAAGUUAAUGAAGUCUUUCAGCAGAUGUGUGAUUAUGUGACCCCUCUUCCAGAAUAGAUGGCUAGCUUUACCACGGUAAGGAAAGUGAUUCCUCCUGGGCUUCUAGGGCUUGGGUAAGUCUCUCUGCACCCCUGCCAUCAGGGGCAAAACCUGGUCAGCUGUGAGCCUAGUGCUCCUCACUGCAAUGGUUCAGGCAGAGGUAGUGCCUGUCAAUGAGAGACCUGGAAAAACCCAGGCUCUGAGGCAGAAGGUCAGGGUUAUUAUUUUUCAAGGAGAAAAGUCAAAAUCAUUUUAGUAAGACAAAUUCUCAUGAAAACCAAGUUGGAAAGGGCUUUAACUUCAGCAGCUAAGGUAGAUGGGCACUGAUGCCUGCUCCUUUUGUCCAGAAUUUGCAAGCUCCCUUAGACAGAGUCAAUAGGAGUCCAUUGGCACCCAGCAGAAGUGAAGGAAUUGGCCACUCCGAACAGGACCAGGACUGUGGAGAGGGGUGGCAGGUCCUCCAGCAGGGGCUGCGAGAGCGGAUGGAGAAGACUGUCGGGAGAUACAGAGGUCAGGAAACAAGAAGUUAGCCUUGCUUAGGGGUCAGGUUGCUUCCGUGUGGCCCAGCCACGGGCUUCACAAUCACUCAGCCCGUGGGAGCCCAUAGUGCAGUUUCACGUGUUUCGCCCUUAACCACCGAGCACGGGUAAAGAGGAAACCUGUGUGGUGAGAAGGGCCAGCCCCGACUUCUAACAAAGAGCUUUUUAAUGAAGCUGUAAACCGGGUGAAUCAUAGCCCCCAGCUUCUCUUUUCGUCUCCUGUGUGAUGUCAGUCCUCCUGUUUGUCUCUGAGCUCAUCUGAUCAUGUUUAACUAGUUGUCCAAAUUAACCCAACUCCUCAGACAUUCCAAGUGAGUUUUUGUGAACACUUAAUAUUUCAUUUCAGAUUUCCACGCUGGAUACGUGUGUGUCACCACUAACAAUGCAGCCGACUGUUUGAGCCCUGGCGAUGGUGUCUGUUCGGGAACAGACUUGUGACCCGUGGGUGCCCUGGAGAUCAGUGGGCGACUCUUCUGUCUCAGUGGUUUCUCUACUGUUUUGCUUAAAGUUUUUAAAACAAAACCUUGUCUGUGGGAGGGUGAUUAUAGCAAGGAACCCUUGAAAUCAUUGAAUGUUUCAACUGAACUGUUUUGGCUGUUGGAUCUGAAAAAAGUGAAGGAAUGACAUUGGCAUUUGGUGUUUGGAAGAAAACAUAGACUAGAACUAUUACCAAUAAAAGGUCUGGUCCAGUUUUUUUAAGCUAUCAAUUAAUUUCCUACUCAUUCAUAGCCUUGGAAUGAAUAGGUGACAUUUCACAGUAUCCAUAAUAGAAGUGACAUUUUGUCAUCCAAAAGUUUUGCAUAGCUUCAUUCUAUAUUUCUGCACAUGUUAAAACUUAGUUUGUGGUAAAAUGGAGUAUUUCCUCCUGUAUUCUCUGAUAUGAUGGCAGUAGACUAAAAAGUGAAAUUUUGGGUUUUAUUACAAUAGAGCACGAAGGACGAUGACUAACUCUCCUUAUUUGGAGAGCAGGAAGUGGUCUAGAAUUGAGAUCCAAAAACAUCAAAUCUGUUUGAUGUUACUAGUAGUGACCUGCCUUGAUGUGGCUUCUUCAGAUGCAACUAGAGCUAAACAUUGUGACAUCAGAAAGUAGUGGGAGCGCUUGAGCAGCAUUAGUCAGAACCUGCUACCUGCAGGCCCAGGAUCUGAGGUUCCUGUUCCCAGGAGAACCGCCUGGCCUCACACAGGGCCUCUGUAACGCUCAGUGUUUGCAGCAAACCGACACAAAGGUGGCCGGAGAAGGCUGGACAUUUGGGAAAGUACCAUUUUGAGUAUUCUUUCCUUUAAAAAAUUAUUUUACUUUUAUUUGAAAGAGAGAGAGAGAGAGAGAGAGAUCUUCUAUUCUCUGAUUCACCCCCCAAAUACUUGCAAUGGCUGGAACUAGACCAGGCUGAAGCCAGGACCUGGGAACUCAAUACAGUCUCCCACAUAGGUGGGAAAGACCAAACUACUCGAGUCAUCGUCAGCUACCUCCCAGAAUGUGUGUCAGCCAGAAAUGGAGUCAGGAGGGGAGGCAAUGCUCCAGUCCAGGGACUCCAGCAUGGGAUGUGGGCAUCUCAAGCACUCUUCCUUCUUCUUCUUCUUCUUCUUCUUCUUCUUAAGAUUCAUUCAUGUAUUUAUUUGAAAGGCAGAAUGACAGAGAGAGAGAGAGAGAGGGAGAGAGCGAGCACGACCUUCCACCUGCUGCUCCAAAUGACCACAACAGCCAGGUCUGGGUCAGUUCAGAGCUGUAAUCCAAGAACACCAUCUGGGUCUCCCACAUGGGUGGCAGGGGCCCAAGCAACUGGGCCUUCUUCCAGUGCCUUCUCAGAUGUAUUAGCAGGAAGCUGGAUCAGAAAUAGAGUAGCCAGGCCUCAGACGGGAACUGAUACGGGAUGCUGGGUCACGAGUGCUGGCUUAACCCACUGUGCACAACGCCAAAGCCAGAGGGUUCUUUCUGAGCCAUUACAUGCCUUUGCUUGAGCUCUGUAGCCUCUUCACUAAUCUAACAGUGUUUCUGUUCUGUCAACUCCUUGAGUGAAUAAGAGAAAAGCAAUUUUUGGUUCACUGACAUCUGCAUCAGGACUACGUAAUGUUUGUUAAAGAUGCCCAAGUCCUGUGCUCUAUACUGACCAGGCAAAUCUAAGUGU